GAUGAAGAACGCAGCGAAAUGCGAUACGUAAUGUGAAUUGCAGAAUUCAGUGAAUCAUCGAGUCUUUGAACGCACAUUGCGCCCCCUGGUAUUCCGGGGGGCAUGCCUGUCCGAGCGUCAUUGCUGCCCUCAAGCACGGCUUGUGUGUUGGGCCUCCGCCCCCCGGCUCCCGGGGGGCGGGCCCGAAAGGCAGCGGCGGCACCGCGUCCGGUCCUCGAGCGUAUGGGGCUUCGUCACCCGCUCCGUAGGCCCGGCCGGCGCCCGCCGGCGACCCCCCUCAAUCUUUCCAGGUUGACCUCGGAUCAGGUAGGGAUACCCGCUGAACUUAAGCAUAUCAAUAAGCGGAUGA
rnacentral:misc_RNA from 1 species